GACGUAGGAUGCAAGCGUUGUUCGGAAUUACUGGGCGUAAAGCGUGCGUAGGCGGUUUGACAAGUCGAGGGUGAAAGCCUGGAGCUCAACUCCAGAGACGCCUUCGAGACUGUUGGACUGGAGGACGGCAGAGGGUGGUGGAAUUCCCAGUGUAGCGGUGAAAUGCGUAGAUAUUGGGAGGAACACCGGUGGCGAAAGCGGCUCACUAGACCACAACUGACGCUGAGGCGCGAAAGCUAGGGGAGCAAACAGG
rnacentral:rRNA from 1 species